rnacentral:rRNA from 1 species
UACGGGGGGGGCAAGCGUUGUUCGGAAUUACUGGGCGUAAAGGGCUCGUAGGCGGCCAACUAAGUCAGACGUGAAAUCCCUCGGCUUAACCGGGGAACUGCAUCUGAUACUGGAUGGCUUGAGUUCGGGAGAGGGAUGCGGAAUUCCAGGUGUAGCGGUGAAAUGCGUAGAUAUCUGGAGGAAUACCGGUGGCGAAGGCGGCAUCCUGGACCAUAACUGACGCUGAGGCGCGAAAGCUAGGGGAGCAAACGGG